GGAACAGUUACUGAAGAAGGAGUAGACUGCAAGAGCCAAGCUGAUGUUCAUCGCAGUUUUAAUGUGCCGCUUCCCAUCUCCCACCCACACCUCAUAUCUGGCAUCUGGUGGUAUGAAAAAAAAUCAUAGUAACUGACAAAACAGUAAAAUGGUUC